GGGCUGAAGGGCUCCUUGAGCAUGGCCAGAGUGGACGCCAAGGCUGAGGAGGCGCCGAGAGCCAGUGAGGGCUGCUAGCAUGUUGUCACCUCUCAAUACAUGCGGAGUUUCGCUCUUGUUGCCCAGGCUGGAAUGCAAUGGCGUGAUCUCGGCUCACCGCAACCUCUGCCUCCCAGAAAACUACUGGAGGGUGGUUCCAAGAUGGCCAAAUAGGAACAGCUCCAGUCUACAGCUCCCAGCAUGAGUGAUGCAGAAGACGAAUGAUUUCUGCAUUUCCAACUCAGUAGAGAGCUGACUUUAGAGGGAUCAAGAAUAGCUUGCUGGAUGGAAGGAGCUUGGGGCCAGUCAUCAUCUUAAAGGCUCUGUGGCAGCUUGGACUUGAAGUAGGGUGCACCCGGAAUUGACCAAUACAAACAGUGGACUGCACUGGAUUCUUCUUGUGCCCUGUCUCAUAUCCUCUUGUCCCACCUUUUCAUAACAGCCAUUGCCAUGGGAACCAGCUGCAUCCAGGCUAGAGCAAAAGGAGGUACAAAACCAAAUGCUAAGAAGCUGCUGCAUUUACUGAGAUAACCGUCUUCAGCUAAUGUGAAGCACCUACAACUUACAUAGAGGACUGCAGUAAAUACCUUAAAAACACAACCUCAUUCCAACCACAAGAAUCCAAUCAGAGAGAUCUGAAAAUCUCAGUUGUUUCUAAACCAAGAACUUUGCAAGGAUUCCAAAGCCACUCAGGGCUUGUUCAUUAAAUUCACCCAAGCUCGUUCACCAGGAGACCAUAGGGUGCCCGUGAGGUACAGUUAUUUGAUCUGAAUCACCUAACAGACAGAAGAUUGGCAAAAGACUCUACUUAUCUAGAACCUACUCCAGAUGCUACACCUAAAUGAGCCAUGUGAUUGUAGUCUGCAUUCUUGUGGAGCAAAAGAACAGAUGUGCAAGGGUUAUGAGAACAGAGAAUAACGAGAAAUUGAUUUUACAUCAGAAGAAUCAAGGCGGCUUGAUGAAGACAGGAGCUGAGGCUUGAUGUGUGCAUGCCAUUUGAUGGAUUAGUCUUACUGUGUAUAUCACAAUCAACAAUCAAAAAAUAAUCCCAGAAGCUUGGUACUCAACUCCAGAAACCUGAAGACUUAUGUGAAGGUAUUAUCUUUACUGUAGGUUUUCUUAAAUUGCUGGAGCUGAAGGUUUCACAUAAUUCUUCAAGCAUAACUUUCUGGAACUCCUGUUUAGACACAUAAAUUUCUCUUCUAAAUCUUCCAUUCACAGUAACUACAAAAAAAAA
ensembl:lncRNA novel transcript